AGUGAACGCUGGCGGUAGGCCUAACACAUGCAAGUCGAACGGCAGCACAGUAAGAGCUUGCUCUUACGGGUGGCGAGUGGCGGACGGGUGAGGAAUACAUCGGAAUCUACUUUUUCGUGGGGGAUAACGUAGGGAAACUUACGCUAAUACCGCAUACGACCUACGGGUGAAAGCAGGGGAUCUUCGGACCUUGCGCGAUUGAAUGAGCCGAUGUCGGAUUAGCUAGUUGGCGGGGUAAAGGCCCACCAAGGCGACGAUCCGUAGCUGGUCUGAGAGGAUGAUCAGCCACACUGGAACUGAGACACGGUCCAGACUCCUACGGGAGGCAGCAGUGGGGAAUAUUGGACAAGGGGCGCAAGCCUGAUCCAGCCAUACCGCGUGGGUGAAGAAGGCCUUCGGGUUGUAAAGCCCUUUUGUUGGGAAAGAAAAGCAGCAGGUUAAUACCCCGCUGUUCUGACGUUACCCAAAGAAUAAGCACCGGCUAACUUCGUG
rnacentral:rRNA from 1 species